rnacentral:rRNA from 1 species
AUUGAACGCUGGCGGCAUGCCUUACACAUGCAAGUCGAACGGUAACGGGCCUUCGGGUGCCGACGAGUGGCGAACGGGUGAGUAAUGUAUCGGAACGUACCUUUCAGUGGGGGAUAACGUAGCGAAAGUUACGCUAAUACCGCAUAUUCUGUGCGCAGGAAAGCAGGGGAUCGCAAGACCUUGCGCUGAUUGAGCGGCCGAUAUCAGAUUAGCUAGUUGGUGAGGUAAAGGCUCACCAAGGCGACGAUCUGUAGCGGGUCUGAGAGGAUGAUCCGCCACACUGGAACUGAGACACGGUCCAGACUCCUACGGGAGGCAGCAGUGGGGAAUUUUGGACAAUGGGGGCAACCCUGAUCCAGCCAUGCCGCGUGAGUGAAGAAGGCCUUCGGGUUGUAAGCUCUUUCGGCCGGGAAGAAUCGUAUGGUUAAGUACCCUGUGCGGUGACGGUACCGGCAUAAGAAGCACCGGCUAACUACGUGCCAGCAGCCGCGGUAAACG